AAAACAUGUCCUUUUGAUAAAGUAAUUAAUAUAAGGUCUGACCUGCCCAAUGAGAAUUUGAAUGGCCGCGGUAUUUUAACUGUGCUAAGGUAGCAUAAUCAUUUGUCUUUUAAUUGAGGACUGGAAUAAAUGGUUGGACGAAGUAUAAGCUUUCUUUUAAUUAGUAUUUUGAAUUUAAUUUUUUAGUUAAAAAGCUAAAAUUUUAUUAAUGGACGAGAAGACCCUAUAGAUCUUUAUAUUUAUCUUAAUUUUUAUAUUUAGAGGUUGAUUAUUAAAAUUUUAGGAUAUGUAUUUGGUUGGGGCGAUUUUAAGAUAAAAAUAACUCUUAAUUUAAUUAUUUCAUUUAUUUAUGUUUUUAUGAUCCAUUAAGUAAUGAUUACAAGAUUAAGUUACCUUAGGGAUAACAGCGUAAUUUUUUCGGAGAGUUCAUAUCGAUGAAAAAGUUUGCGACCUCGAUGUUGGAUUAAAAUAAGCUGUAGGUGCAGGAGCCUAUAGGCUGGGUCUGUUCGACCUUUAAUUU
rnacentral:rRNA from 1 species